AGUGGGGAAUCUUGCGCAAUGGGCGAAAGCCUGACGCAGCAACGCCGCGUGCGGGAUGAAGGCCCUCGGGUUGUAAACCGCUUUCAGCAGGAACGAAAAUGACGGUACCUGCAGAAGAAGGUCCGGCCAACUACGUGCCAGCAGCCGCGGUAACACGUAGGGGCCAAGCGUUGUCCGGAUUUAUUGGGCGUAAAGAGCUCGUAGGCGGUUCGGUAAGUCGGGUGUGAAAACUCUGGGCUCAACCCAGAGACGCCACCCGAUACUGCUGUGACUUGAGUCCGGUAGGGGAGUGGGGAAUUCCUGGUGUAGCGGUGAAAUGCACAGAUAUCAGGAGGAACACCGGUGGCGAAGGCGCCACUCUGGGCCGGUACUGACGCUGAGGAGCGAAAGCGUGGGUAGCAAA
rnacentral:rRNA from 1 species